rnacentral:rRNA from 1 species
AGAGUUUGAUCAUGGCUCAGGAUAAACGCUGGCGGCGUGCCUAACACAUGCAAGUCGAACGCCCAUCGCAAGAUGGGAGUGGCGGACGGGUGAGGAACACGUGGGUUAUCUGCCCUGGGGUGAGGAAUACCGGCGAGAAAUCGCCGACAAUACCGCAUAGGAUCGCAAGAUCAAAGUCGCAAGACGCCCGAGGAUGAGCC